CCUCAGUGCCUUCCAGUAAAGGCAGCAGCAGCAGCAGCAGCAGCGGCAGCAGCAGCUCCUCCAGCGACUCAGAGAGCAGCUCAGGAUC
rnacentral:miRNA from 1 species